rnacentral:misc_RNA from 1 species
GAUGAAGAACGCAGCGAAAUGCGAUAAGUAGUGUGAAUUGCAGAAUUCAGUGAAUCAUCGAAUCUUUGAACGCACAUUGCGCCCCUUGGUAUUCCAUGGGGCAUGCCUGUUCGAGCGUCAUUUGUACCUUCAAGCUCUGCUUGGUGUUGGGUGUUUGUCUCGCCUCUGCGUGUAGACUCGCCUCAAAAUAAUUGGCAGCCGGCGUUUUGAUUUCGGAGCGCAGUACAUCUCGCGCUUUGCACUCAUAACGACGACGUCCAAAAGUACAUUUUUACACUCUUGACCUCGGAUCAGGUAGGGAUACCCGCUGAACUUAAGCAUAUCAAUAAGCGGAGGA